rnacentral:rRNA from 1 species
GACGAACGCUGGCGGCGUGCUUAACACAUGCAAGUCGAACGGAAAGGCCCUGCUUUUGUGGGGUGCUCGAGUGGCGAACGGGUGAGUAACACGUGAGUAACCUGCCCUUGACUUUGGGAUAACUUCAGGAAACUGGGGCUAAUACCGGAUAGGAGCUCCUGCUGCAUGGUGGGGGUUGGAAAGUUUCGGCGGUUGGGGAUGGACUCGCGGCUUAUCAGCUUGUUGGUGGGGUAGUGGCUUACCAAGGCUUUGACGGGUAGCCGGCCUGAGAGGGUGACCGGCCACAUUGGGCCUGCGAUACGGCCCAGACUCCUACGGGAGGCAACAGUGGGGAAUAUUGCACAAUGGGCGGAAGCCUGAUGCAGCAACGCCGCGUGCGGGAUGACGGCCUUCGGGUUGUAAACCGCUUUCGCCUGUGACGAAGCGUGAGUGACGGUAAUGGGUAAAGAAGCACCGGCUAACUACGUG